GUAAGGAAUAUUGGACAAUGGACGCAAGUCUGAUCCAGCCAUGCCGCGUGAAGGAUUAAGGUCCUCUGGAUUGUAAACUUCUUUUAUAAGGGACGAAAAAAGGCUUUUCUAAGUCGUCUGACGGUACCUUAUGAAUAAGCACCGGCUAACUCCGUGCCAGCAGCCGCGGUAAUACGGAGGGUGCAAGCGUUAUCCGGAUUCACUGGGUUUAAAGGGUGCGUAGGCGGGCAGGUAAGUCAGUGGUGAAAUCCUAGAGCUUAACUCUAGAACUGCCAUUGAUACUAUCUGUCUUGAAUAUUGUGGAGGUAAGCGGAAUAUGUCAUGUAGCGGUGAAAUGCUUAGAUAUGACAUAGAACACCUAUUGCGAAGGCAGCUUACUACGCAUAUAUUGACACUGAGGCACGAAAGCGUGGGGAUCAAACAGGAUUAGAAACCCUAGUAGUCC
rnacentral:rRNA from 1 species